UUACGGUUAUAUCACGUUGAAACAUCGAUUUACAUGCGAUAACCCAAGUUAAGCAACGUUGAGUUUGGUCAGUACUUAGAUGGGUGAGCGUUUGAGAAUACCAGGUGGUGUAAG